GACGAACGCUGGCGGCGUGCCUAACACAUGCAAGUCGAGCGAUGAAACCCUUCGGGGUGGAUUAGCGGCGGACGGGUGAGUAACACGUGGUAACCUGCCUCAAAGAGGGGGAUAGCCUCCCGAAAGGGAGAUUAAUACCGCAUAAUAUCAUGUUUUCGCAUGAAGAUAUGAUUAAAGGAGUAAUCCGCUUUGAGAUGGACCCGCGGCGCAUUAGCUAGUUGGUGAGGUAACGGCUCACCAAGGCCACGAUGCGUAGCCGACCUGAGAGGGUGAUCUGCCACAUUGGAACUGAGACACGGUCCAGACUCCUACGGGAGGCAGCAGUGGGGAAUAUUGCACAAUGGGCGAAAGCCUGAUGCAGCAACGCCGCGUGAGUGAUGACGGCCUUCGGGUUGUAAAACUCUGUCUUUGGGGACGAUAAUGACGGUACCCAAGGAGGAAGCCACGGCUAACUACGUGCCAGCCGCCGCUGUAACAC
rnacentral:rRNA from 1 species